rnacentral:tmRNA from 1 species
GGAGAUGUAAUGCAUCGACGGAGUUAGUACCUUAAAAAACAGCAAGCCGACUUUGAUCCAUUGAGUCGAUAAACAGGGUCGAACAAUAAUGCCAAAUCUAAAUUUGGUGUUGAUUUAACCAAAGUAGCAGAUGCCUUUACUGGCACUUUUGCUCCUAAGGCAACCGCUUUUGCAUUAGCUUAAGCACUCAACCAUUUUUUGGUUUUCUAUUUCGGAGGGAACUAAAAAGUGUCAACUAAACCGAAAUGCAGUUGUUAAAAUCCCGAUUUUUUGACAGCUAAAGCGAGAGGUAAUGCUUUCACCAAUCGGCACUCUAAGGCUUUGAGUUAGCUUUAGCUGUUAGAGGUGUAGGAUAAGGCUAAUCUAAGCUUGUAGAAGUUUUUUAAAGUCAACUUUCGGACCCGGGCUCGUUACCUGGCAUCUCCGCAA